ACUUUUAAAGGAAAACAGACNUCC
rnacentral:tRNA from 1 species